UGGGGAAUAUUGCACAAUGGAGGGAACUCUGAUGCAGCGACGCCGCGUGAACGAAGAAGGCUUUCGAGUCGUAAAGUUCUUUUAUAUGGGAAGAUAAUGACGGUACCAUAAGAAAAAGCCCCGGCUAACUACGUGCCAGCAGCCGCGGUAAUACGUAGGGGGCUAGCGUUGACCGGAAUCACUGGGCGUAAAGGGUUCGCAGGCGGAAAUGCAAGUCAGGUGUAAAAGGCAGUAGCUUAACUACCGUAAGCAUUUGAAACUGCAUAUCUUGAGAAGAGUAGAGGUAAGUGGAAUUUUUAGUGUAGCGGUGAAAUGCGUAGAUAUUAAAAAGAAUACCGGUGGCGAAGGCGACUUACUGGGCUCAUUCUGACGCUGAGGAACGAAAGCGUGGGUAGCAAACAGG
rnacentral:rRNA from 1 species